GUGUUCAGAGAAAGGAGAGAUAAUUUCUACUCCUUCUUAGGGCAAAGAGGGAACUGGCUUCUGAAUCUGAUAUGUUUCCAAGGCUAAGGGAUUUAUUUUUUCCCUACCAGGCACAGAAAGUCUUUUUU